AAAAAUAAAAGGGUAAGAACUACAAAUGCCCUGUUACAUUGCUAGGGCUUCAUCCAGCCCUAGAUUAGAUGUUCAGCCACGCAUGAAUUCCGGACGACCUCCCAUCUUCAUAUGAAAAUCUUCCGCUCCCAUUAUUCCCAAAAUACCCAAAAUAUUCUCUCCCCCUCUUUUCUUCUUUUCUCCCGAACAAAGCCUCUCCUCUGUUCUUCAAACCGUCUCUCCCCUCUUCCUUCUUAUAGUCACGGGAUGCUGAAAUCUGGUGGAGAAUCACGAGCAGCCGGGAUCGCGGACAGCUAGAGGAGGCUAAGGUGCUGAGAGGAGCGGAUCCGGAAUGGAGGGCGCUGCGGGAUUGCUGGGAGGAGGCGAUCAUCCGGGUCGCACGCGGAAGAGGAUGAUGCGGCUGGGGUUGGGUGUCCGGGAUGCUGGCUGCACGUGGCUGAUGGAGGAAUACCCAGGGAUGAAGAUGCCUCGUAGAUGGAUCUGGCACGUGGGUUGAUACGCGGACGGAAUGGAAGAACGGCUGGCCGAUUUGGGAAGAAGUUUCCCCUGUUUCAGCGCUGGGAAGGAGAUCGGAAGCUGGGAUUCUGCUGGGAUUGAAAUCUUUGGGCACUGGAAUGGAUGAUCUGCCGAUUUUGGGAAGAUUGCAUCGUGGGAGGGAUGCGGAGAAGGCUCGGAUGCGAUUGAAUGCGAACGGGAGGAAUCUUUUGGGCGCGGAAGGAAUGGAUACGGCUGAGCUGGGAGAUGGGCUCUGUUUUGGAGCAGGGGGAAAACAUGUGGUUUUUAAGUCAUGAGCUGGGAUUUAUUCGUGGAAGGAGAUGAAGAUGUUGAGAUUCAGAAUCGGCUGGGAGGAAUUCGUUGAACGCCGAAGCGGGGGAGGAUGCGGAGGAUCAUGCGACUUGUUCCAAAACAGGG
rnacentral:lncRNA from 1 species